rnacentral:rRNA from 1 species
CUGCCAGUAGUCAUAUGCUUGUCUCAAAGAUUAAGCCAUGCAUGUCUAAGUACAAGCCUCACUAAGGUGAAACCGCGAAUGGCUCAUUAAAUCACACCUAAUCUACUGGAUAGUUAACAGUUACUUGGAUAACUGCGGUAAUUCUGGAGCUAAUACAUGCACAAAGCCUCGAACUUACGUGAGAGGCGCUUUUAUUAGAUCAAAACCAAACGUUUUCGAACGUUUUCUUGGUGACUCUGAAUAACUUUGGGCUGAUCGCAUAGCCUUGCGCUGGCGACAUAUCCUUCGAAGGUGUGCCCUAUCAACUGUCGACUGUGGCAUAGACGCCCACAGUGGUUUUGACGGGUAACGGGGAAUCAGGGUUCGAUUCCGGAGAGGGAGCCUUAAAAACGGCUACCACAUCUAAGGAAGGCAGCAGGCACGCAAAUUACCCAAUGACCGAAGGUCGAGGUAGUGACGAAAAAUAACGAUACGGGACUCAUCCGAGGCCCCGUAAUCGGAAUGAGUACACUUUAAAACCGUCCCCGAGGAUCUAUUGGAGGGCAAGUCUGGUGCCAGCAGCCGCGGUAAUUCCAGCUCCAAUAGCGUAUAUUAAAGUUGUUGUGGUUAAAAAGCUCGUAGUUGGAUCUCCACAGUCUGAGGUUGGUGUACUUGCUAGUACUACUGCCCUAUAGACUGUAGUUUUGCCAGAGGUGCUAGGGUGCUCUUAAUCGAGUGUCCUAUUAUGCUGGCAGGUUUACUUUGAAAAAAUUAGAGUGCUCAAAGCAGGCUAUUACGCCUGAAUAUUCGUGCAUGGAAUAAUAGAAUAGGAAGUCGUUUCUAUUUUGUUGGUUUUUAAGUUUCGACUUAAUGAUUAAUAGGGACAAACGGGGGCAUUUGUAUUCAAACGACAGAGGUGAAAUUCUUGGACCGUUUGAAGACAAACUACUGCGAAAGCAUUUGCCAAGAGUGUUUUCAUUAAUCAAGAACGAAAGUUAGAGGUUCGAAGGCGAUUAGAUACCGCCCUAGUUCUAACCAUAAACGAUGCCAGCUAGCGAUCUGCCGACGUUUU